CUGUUCUGAUGUGGCUCAGUUUUCAUCCUUGUGAUUUCUGCCUUUUGGAGUGCCUUGGAAUGCUUUGCUAGAAGGCGGAUGGGUAAAAGGAACUGGCCUAUGAAGCUGGUCAGGUGUGGGAGGGUGACGUCCUGAAACCCCGAAGUUAGUGUUGAUUGUGUGUCAUCAGUGCUUCUCAGGUGUGUUUUGCUUUGUGGCCCCCCACCGCUCAGGUGGGAGGAGACGUCCCUCUUAGGCUCUAAAACACAUCCAGCAUGAUAGACUCUGGCAGAAGAGCUUCUCCUGACAGCAGGCCUUCCUAAGAAGAAGGAGGGCUCUGGCAGAUUUCAGAGGGUUCCUUUCUCCUCCCCCUGCUGGAAGCUCAGUGGGACUGUGCUUUGCUGUUUACUGAGAGGACCUGGCAGAGCUCCUCAAGGUAUGACUCACAAAAUGUGCAGUUCCCUCUGUGACUGGAACUUUCACCUCUCAUUUGUCCACACCAAGCCUCCAGCAGUUGGUCAGAAACACCAGCGGUCUCUGUGGGUCAGCCAUUCUGAUUGCUGCCUUGCUCGGCUGCCCAUUUCAGUGACUGUGCCAACCAUGUCUUUGUGAUGAAGAACCCCUGCCACCCGGCACUCCUGUCCUGAAGAAUUUGAUAGUCCAGUCCCGUGGCAGAAGUUCCCACUGUUCUCCUGGCCUGCAGAGGAGAGCCACCAUAAAGAUGUUCCAGAAGCCAGGUCUGUCCUCAUCCUCUCAUUUCUCACAGGCCUGGAGGCACAGAUUUCUACAAGAGUAGUCCUGUCUGCAGAAUGCCAGACCUAACCCUGCAACAUUAAGAAGUGCACUGGCUGGGCGAGAGGUCGGAGUCGGUGGGCAGACAGCUCCCCUCAGGACAAAGACUUUCAAGCUGGGACUCUAUCAGAGGAGAAGACUGAUGGCGGAAGCCAGCCGCCUGCCUGCGGAAAAAUCCCAGGAGGAGGCCUGGCAGGGGCGCAGGACUGAGCAGAGGACCUGGAUGUGAGCCUGAGGUCUGCCGCAGCUCGGUGCACAUGUGGCUCAGGAAGAAGCACCUGGCUGCAGAGAUUACUCAACGGGCCCGCAGAGCCCCUCAAUGCAGUGGACUGGAGGACACGGACAGGGACCUGGGCUGCUAUGUCCGGGCGUGGGAGCCUUCUGGCCUGGACAGUGUGCCCUGAGGGAACCCAGGAUGGGAGUCAGGCACUGGCCUGGGUCAGGCCUGGGUCAGGCCUGGCUCCCGCUCUUCAGUGGUCAGCGUGAGCGCUGCGAUCCUCCUUUCUUUGUCUGUGGAUGCGGGGUCAUUGCAGUCGGCCUCAACGCCCCCUUAGCUCUUCAAUUCUCAAAUUCCAUUUACUUUUGGAUCCGGUUCCAUCCUUUUAAAUGCUGUCACCUUUGCUUACUUUUAUAAACACAGGAGAGCAAAUCAUAUUUGUUUACUAACUUAAACAAUGAAUAACAACAAAAACGUGAAAGAAAAUCCAUCACCUCUGAGCCUACAGGUUGCGAGAAACCCCCUGGCUCCCCCGGAGCGCCCCAGGCCCGGCCAGCAGCCUGGGCUACCGGAGUCUCCGGCCCUGGAGGGGGCGGGCAAUGCUGCUCUGCCGCGCCCUCUGGUGGCCGCUUUCCGUCAUGGUCACCAACCGCAGGGUUGUGCCUUGGGCUGCCCAAGCGAAAGAUUUAAUUUACUCCGACAAAUAUUACAUCUGGUGCUUCGGGUAGAGACACGGAAAAUGCCAUCUCUCUUUUCUGGAAGUCUCUCUCUUAGUGGCCAGUGAUGAAGAUGCCAGAAAAAAGUAGCCCAUUCAUUAUAUUUAUGUUGUGUGAGAUUGUACCUCAGAGGGUGAAGUCAAUGAGAAGAAUAAGUAAUUGAAACAAGCAUUUUUGUUCCCUUGGCAGAAAUUCAGUCAUUGGCAAUAUACCUAUUUUACAAAGGGAGAUUAGAUAAAUUAGAGAUUAAAGAAAGGGGAACAGAUGUUUUUCCUCUGAUAAGCAUCAUUCUAUCAAAAAAGCAAAGAAACAACAACAAAAAAGCAAACCUCCGGAGACUUGGACUUGGUGCAGAAAAUGUGGGGGCAGAAAUCCUAGGUUGGGGGAGACGUGGCCUGCACAGGGUCACACCUGGAUGGUGUGGACGCUCUCAUCGUGCCAUGACUCAGCGCAGUCCUUCCAUGUUGUGAGGGUGCCAGGCGCCCCAUGAGUUUUGUGGGCUCUGCGCCAGACGCCUGGUGGACCUUAUCUUCACCCUCGCAGUAGCAGCCACUGAGGGGCGGCCAUGUUGUCAUCAUUGCACGGAGAGCAAGGAGGCGGGGGCUCUGGGCGGGUGGUUUGAUUCAGAUCAGGCCCAGCACAGUCAUGGUUCUCAACUAGGGCAGCAGCAGCACUGGGAGCAAAUUCUGGGCCCCGGACCUCGUGAAUUGAGAACCUGGGUGGUGGGGGCAGCAAUCUGAUCUUCACAAGGCCUUGGGUGGAUCUGAGGCUGCUCAGGUUUGAGGACCUCAGAGGGCCUUGGACUCCUCUAGGAGACUGAAACAAUGAAAUCACAGGUGCUGGGACCCCAGGCCCCUGGGAAGUGGAUACAAUUCACAGUGCAGCCAGCUUCAGAGCCACUGGAGUAGAGAGGCCAAGUGGGGCUUGAACUUGCCUCUGUCUUGCUCAUCCGUAGACCUCGCCGCCUGGCAGAUUCUGUAGUGUGCAGCCUGCUUCUCCGUGCGUGGGGAGAACGCGGAAGCCGUGCACCUGACUACCCGCAGUGCAGAAGUGGCUAGUGGCCCAGCAAGCAAGGCCCACACGGACCUGGCAUUGUGCCCUCCCGAAAGCCAGUUGGCUCCAGAGUGGGCCUGCCGUCCAGUGCUGUGGCUUCCCGGGAGUUGGCUGCCAGUCUUCGGGGAGAUUUAUUUUCCUCUGAGAGAGAGCCACAGGGAGCCAUCAUGGGCUGAACUGAUGACCCUCUGGUCUUCCUCUGAGCUUGGCUGUGUCGCACUCUGCACCUGUGAGAGCCACGAGGAGCCCACGUGAGCCUGGCAGAAGUUUUAUUGGGCACCAGCUAUGCUCAGGCACAGCUCUUGGUGAUGGAGAUGCAAGAAUGGGCAAGAUCCAUAAGGAUCGGGCGCUUCAUGGGACUCAGCUGGGGACAGGGAAGACAAAGGAGCAAAGUGAUUUCAGGUAAGAUAAAUGCCAUUUCCCAGAUGAAAAAUGAGAAGGCAGUCCAGGUGCUGGGUAGGUACUAGAGGAUGUUUUCAGAUUGGAUGGUCAGGAAAGACCUCCUCUCUGAGAGGGUGGGCAUUAUGCUGAGAUAGGAUGAGAAGACUCUGGUCUAGAGAUGAUGGAUCAGGUCAGCAUCCCAGACAGAGGGAGCAUGCCAAGCCCCCAGCCUCAGUGAGUCUUCUUCCUCUGUAACCUCUGUAACACAGUAGGAACCGGUCACGCUCUUGGAUUACUUAGGGGUAUCUGAUGCUAGAGCUCUGUAGUACCUGAUACUCGAUACUUGGUUGCUACUCAGCACUUUUUAUAUCCUUCUUAUUUGGGGGCAGGAGAUGAGAUAACCACUCCUUCAUUUCUGCAACAACUACUAAGGUGUGUGAGGCCUGUGCAGGUAAGAGGUUCUCUCCACAAGGGGCAUAUGGCCUGGGAGGUGUGCUGAAGCUUGCAGAGGGAAUGGGCCAAAGCAGAGUGGGAAGUGAUGUGUGGAAUGAUCCCCAUCCUCCAAGGAGUUUUGAUGGGACCAAAAGACAAGGUCUGGAGGGUGGCUCAAUGCCCAGGGCCUCUUAGGAUGCUCUUUCUGGGGCUAUGUGGAGACAUCAAGGUGUCAGAAGGACUAGAGGGGUUUAGAGAGGUGAUUGAAAUGGUCCUGGAGAUGACCCAGGUUUAUUGAGGAUCGAUUUUAAUUGCAGGUUUUGAGUUACUUUUUCAGCACUAGAACUAAAAAUCACACGAAGCCACAUGGAACAAUAGAGUUGAUUGAUUUAGUUCAACAACUGCUUCAUCGGGACAGGGAAUUAGGUAUUUAAUUGAAUUGACUGGCUGUUGAGGAAUUUUGUAUUAGCAAAAUCACUAAGGUAUAGUGGUUUGGGCCAUGUCCUUUCCUCAUGUGGUCAAAUUUGGUUUUGUUGGAUGAUCGUUUACCUCAUAAACCAUAGGACAAAAGGUUGGAAUUGUUUUAAUAAAAUGCUGCAGUAAUAUCAUUAAAUAGGCUAGAAGCAAUAAUGUCAAAGCCAGUCUCUGGUAGUAUCAGGAGCACUUGGGACCCUGUGUCACCAGAGUGGAAGUCAUUAAUAUAAUAUUGUGGCUUUGAGCCAAU